UGGAUCAGUGGCGAACGGGGGAGAAACACGGGAGCAACCUGCCCCUGACUCUGGGAUAAGCGCUGGAAACGGCGUCUAAUACUGGAUACGAACCGCGACCGCAUGGUCAGUGGUUGGAAAGAAUUUCGGUUGGGGAUGGGCUCGCGGCCUAUCAGCUUGUUGGUGAGGUAAUGGCUCACCAAGGCGUCGACGGGUAGCCGGCCUGAGAGGGUGACCGGCCACACUGGGACUGAGACACGGCCCAGACUCCUACGGGAGGCAGCAGUGGGGAAUAUUGCACAAUGGGCGCAAGCCUGAUGCAGCAACGCCGCGUGAGGGAUGACGGCCUUCGGGUUGUAAACCUCUUUUAGCAGGGAAGAAGCGAAAGUGACGGUACCUGCAGAAAAAGCGCCGGCUAACUACGUGCCAGCAGCCGCGGUAAUACGUAGGGCGCAAGCGUUAUCCGGAAUUAUUGGGCGUAAAGAGCUCGUAGGCGGUUUGUCGCGUCUGCUGUGAAAUCCCGAGGCUCAACCUCGGGCCUGCAGUGGGUACGGGCAGACUAGAGUGCGGUAGGGGAGAUUGGAAUUCCUGGUGUAGCGGUGGAAUGCGCAGAUAUCAGGAGGAACACCGAUGGCGAAGGC
rnacentral:rRNA from 1 species